rnacentral:rRNA from 1 species
CAGUCGCCACGGGAAUACAGAGGGUGCGAGCGUUAAUCGGAUUUACUAGGCGUAAAGCGUGCGUAGGCGGCUAAUUGAGUCGGAUGUGAAAUCCCCGAGCUUAACUUGGGAAUUGCAUUCGAUACUGGUUAGCUAGAGUGUGGGAGAGGAUGGUAGAAUUCCAGGUGUAGCGGUGAAAUGCGUAGAGAUCUGGAGGAAUACCGAUGGCGAAGGCAGCCAUCUGGCCUAACACUGACGCUGAGGUACGAAAGCAUGGGGAGCAAACAGGAUUAGAUACCCCUGUAGUCCCUGUCUCUUAUAC